rnacentral:rRNA from 1 species
ACUCCUACGGGAGGCAGCAGUGGGGAAUAUUGGACAAUGGGCGAAAGCCUGAUCCAGCAAUGCCGCGUGUGUGAAGAAGGCCUGCGGGUUGUAAAGCACUUUCAGUAGAGAAGAAAAGCCUGGGACUAAUACUCCCGGGUCUUGACGUAACCUACAGAAGAAGCACCGGCUAACUCCGUGCCAGCAGCCGCGGUAAUACGGAGGGUGCAAGCGUUAAUCGGAAUUACUGGGCGUAAAGCGUGCGUAGGCGGUUGAGUAAGUCGGAUGUGAAAGCCCCGGGCUUAACCUGGGAAUUGCAUUCGAUACUGCUCAACUAGAGUAUGGGAGAGGGAAGUGGAAUUUCCGGUGUAGCGGUGAAAUGCGUAGAUAUCGGAAGGAACACCAGUGGCGAAGGCGACUUCCUGGACCAAUACUGACGCUCAGGCACGAAAGCGUGGGGAGCAAACAGGAUUAGAAACCCCGGUAGUCC